rnacentral:rRNA from 1 species
CCUACGGGGGGCAGCAGUGAGGAAUAUUGGUCAAUGGUCGGGAGACUGAACCAGCCAAGCCGCGUGAGGGAUGAAGGUACAGAGUAUCGUAAACCUCUUUUGUCAGGGAACAAAGGCGGGGACGUGUCCCCGGAUGAGUGUACCUGAAGAAAAAGCAUCGGCUAACUCCGUGCCAGUAGCAGCGGUAAUACGGAGGAUGCGAGCGUUAUCCGGAUUUAUUGGGUUUAAAGGGUGCGAAGGCGGUCUGUUAAGUCAGCGGUAAAACCCCGGGGCUCAACCCCGGCCCGCCGUUGAAACUGGCAGUCGCGAGUUGGAGAGAAGUAUGCGGAAUGCGCGGUGUAGCGGUGAAAUGCAUAGAUAUCGCGCAGAACUCCGAUUGCGAAGGCAGCAUGCCGGCUCCACACUGACGCUGAGGCACGAAAGCGUGGGUAUCGAACAGGAUUAGAUACCCCUGUAGUC